AAUACCGACCUGCAUGAAUGGCGUAACGAGAUGGGAGCUGUCUCAAAGAGGGAUCCAGUGAAAUUGUAGUGGAGGUGAAAAUUCCUCCUACCCGCGGCAAGACGGAAAGACCCCGUGGACCUUUACUACAGCUUGACACUGCUACUUGGAUAAGAAUGUGCAGGAUAGGUGGGAGGCUUUGAGUAUAUGACGCCAGUUGUAUAUGAGCCAUUGUUGAGAUACCACUCUUUCUUAUUUGGGUAGCUAACCGGCUUGAGUUAUCCUCAAGUGGGACAAUGUCUGGUGGGUAGUUUGACUGGGGCGGUCGCCUCCCAAAUAAUAACGGAGGCUUACAAAGGUUGGCUCAGAACGGUUGGAAAUCGUUCGUAGAGUAUAAAGGUAUAAGCCAGCUUAACUGCAAGACAUACAAGUCAAGCAGAGACGAAAGUCGGUCUUAGUGAUCCGGUGGUUCUGUG
rnacentral:rRNA from 1 species